rnacentral:tRNA from 1 species
GAAGACAUAGCUCAGUGGUAGAGCGCAUGCUUAGCAAGCACAAGGUCUUGGGUUCAAUCCCCAGUUCCGCCA